ensembl:miRNA microRNA 196b
GGUUUAGGUAGUUUCAUGUUGUUGGGGCUCCACCUUUCUCUCUACAGCACGAAACUGCCUUAAUUACUUCAG